rnacentral:lncRNA from 1 species
CUUCUUCCUCUUCUAUUUGCUUACUUUCUUUCGAAUUCUCAACAACUCUCAUGUCUAGUUCAUCUAUUUCCUCAUACUCGUCUUCAUCCAUCAAAUGACCAAGUAGCUCCUCAUUUGUUGUGAUAUUAACGUUAGUUGUUGACUCUUGAUAAGCAACCUCUAAUGUAUAUCGAUCAUCCACUGUACAUCUUGGUUUGGUUUUAAUAACCAC